rnacentral:rRNA from 1 species
GACGAACGCUGGCGGCGUGCCUAAUACAUGCAAGUAGAACGCACAGUUUAUACCGUAGCUUGCUACACCAUAGACUGUGAGUUGCGAACGGGUGAGUAACGCGUAGGUAACCUGCCUGGUAGCGGGGGAUAACUAUUGGAAACGAUAGCUAAUACCGCAUAAUAUUAAUUAUUGCAUGAUAAUUAAUUGAAAGGUGCAAUUGCACCACUACCAGAUGGACCUGCGUUGUAUUAGCUAGUAGGUGAGGUAACGGCUCACCUAGGCGACGAUACAUAGCCGACCUGAGAGGGUGAACGGCCACACUAGGACUGAGACACGGCCCAGACUCCUACAGGGGGCAGCAGUAGGGGAUAUUCGGAAAGGGACGAAAGUCUGAACGAGCAAAGCCGCGUGAGUGAAGAAGGUUUUCGGAUCGUAAAGAUCUGUUGUAAGAGAAGAACGGGUGUGAGAGUGGAAAGUUCACACUGUGACGGUAUCUGACCAGAAAGGAACGGCUAACUACGUG